rnacentral:rRNA from 1 species
CAGCAGCCACGGUAAUGCGUAGGUGGCAAGCGUUGUCCGGAAUUAUUGGGCGUAAAGGGCUCGCAGGCGGUUUCUUAAGUCUGAUGUGAAAGCCCCCGGCUCAACCGGGGAGGGUCAUUGGAAACUGGGAAACUUGAGUGCAGAAGAGGAGAGUGGAAUUCCACGUGUAGCGGUGAAAUGCGUAGAGAUGGGGAGGAACACCAGUGGCGAAGGCGACUCUCUGGUCUGUAACUGACGCUGAGGAGCGAAAGCGUGGGGAGCGAACAGGAUUAGAUACCCCCGUAGUCCCUGUCUCUUAUAC